rnacentral:rRNA from 1 species
AGAGUUUGAUCAUGGCUCAGAACGAACGCUGGUGGCGUGCUUAACACAUGCAAGUCGAACGAGAAAGUUUCCUUCGGGAAAUUAGUAAAGUGGCGCAAGGGUGAGUAUCACGUGAAUAAUCUGCCCUCGAGAUCGGGAUAACAUGGUGAAAACUAUGCUAAUACCGGAUAAGACCACAUUUCAGAAGAAAUGCGGUAAAAGGAGUCUCAAUCUCCACUUGAGGAUGAGUUCGCGCAACAUUAGCUUGUUGGUGAGAUAAAAGCUCACCAAGGCUACGAUGUUUAGCCGNCCUGAGAGGGUGAACGGCCACACUGGAACUGANNCNCGGUCCAGACUCCUACGGGAGGCAGCAGUGGGGAAUAUUGCGCAAUGGGCGAAANCCUGACGCAGCAACGCCGUGUGAGCGAUGAAGGCUUUAGGGUCGUAAAGCUCUGUCAAAUGGGA